GUGGGGAAUCUUGCGCAAUGGGCGAAAGCCUGACGCAGCCAUGCCGCGUGAAUGAUGAAGGUCUUAGGAUUGUAAAAUUCUUUCACCGGGGACGAUAAUGACGGUACCCGGAGAAGAAGCUCCGGCUAACUUCGUGCCAGCAGCCGCGGUAAUACGAAGGGGGCUAGCGUUGCUCGGAAUUACUGGGCGUAAAGGGCGCGUAGGCGGACAGCUUAGUCAGAGGUGAAAGCCCAGGGCUCAACCUUGGAAUUGCCUUUGAUACUGGCUGUCUUGAGUUUGGGAGAGGUGAGUGGAACUCCGAGUGUAGAGGUGAAAUUCGUAGAUAUUCGGAGGAACACCAGUGGCGAAGGCGGCUCACUGGCUCGAUACUGACGCUGAGGUGCGAAAGCGUGGGGAGCAAACAGGAUUAGAAACCCUAGUAGUCC
rnacentral:rRNA from 1 species